rnacentral:rRNA from 1 species
GAUAAACGCUGGCGGCGUGCUUUAUGCAUGCAAGUCGAACGAGUUACCUUCGGGUAGCUAGUGGCAAACGGGUGAGUAACACGUAAGUAACCUGUCCUCAAGUGGGGAAUAACACCGGGAAACCGGAGCUAAUACCGCAUGUGGUAAUGGAGGUAAUGCUUCAUUACCAAAGCCUUCGGGCGCUUGGGGAGGGGCUUGCGUCCGAUUAGCUAGUUGGUAGGGUAACGGUCUACCAAGGCGAAGAUCGGUAGCUGGUCUGAGAGGAUGGUCAGCCACACUGGGACUGAGACACGGCCCAGACUCCUACGGGAGGCUG